CUCAAAACGGAGGACAGAUGGGGGACUCAAAACGGAGGACAGUGGGGGGGACUCAAAGCGGAGGACAGUGGGGGGACUCAAAACGGAGGACAUGGGGACACAAACUAGAUGACGGGGAAACACAAAAAAAUAAUUAUUUGACCACAGCGCCGUGGUGUUAAAGGGCUUUGAUCUCCGUUGCCAUGGCGCUUGGCUGAGCUGCCGGUCAGUUCACUGGGCACUUCCUGUUUCCUCUCAUUCUUUUUCAACAUGUCUGACGAACCGAGCAUAAUGAGUACUGUCCAAUCUGGGGGGAAAAAACGGGACGAGCUGUUACACACACACACACACACACACACACAAAGUGCACAGGAAUACUGUAUACAUAGGUUUUUGUUUUUUUGCAAUAUCGCUGAUGGUUUCAGCGUUUAUAGGUCAAAGGUCAGGUUUAUAAAUGUGGCGAAGCGUCCACAUAAAGCAAUAAACAUUUCUAUUCGUAUUUAUCACGAGCGUGCAACGUGUUUUGGCGGUGUAUUAGGGUGCUCUGUGCUCGAUUAGCUCUUAGCUUGCUUUAUUCUUUUUUUUUUGGCAGAAUUAAUCCUAAAAAAUAAUUGCGAUGCCUUCAUCCAAUUUACGAACUUGUGAACCGAUCAGUUCCUAUGCAUUGAAAAGCCUGAUUGAUUAAAAAAAAAAAGCGAGGG
ensembl:lncRNA